rnacentral:rRNA from 1 species
GAUGAACGCUGGCGGCGUGCUUAACACAUGCAAGUCGAACGAUGAAGCCCAGCUUGUUGGGUGGGUUCGUGGCGAACGGGUGAGUGAAACGUGAGUAACCUGCCCUUAACUCUGGGAUAAGCCUGGGAAACUGGGUGUAAUACAGGAUAGGAGAGCCUACCGCAUGGUGGGUGUUGGGAAGAUUUAUCGGUUUUGGAUGGACUCGCGGCCUAUAAGCUUGUUGGUGAGGUAAUGGCUCACCAAGGCGACGACGGGUAGCCGGCCUGAGAGGGUGACCGGCCACACUGGGACUGAGACACGGCCCAGACUCCUACGGGAGGCAGCAGUGGGGAAUAUUGCACAAUGGGCGAAAGCCUGAUGCAGCGACGCCGCGUGAGGGAUGACGGCCUUCGGGUUGUAAACCUCUUUCAGUAGGGAAGAAGCGAAAGUGACGGUACCUGCAGAAGAAGCACCGGCUAACUACGUG